UUGUUACCUGGAGUUCCUUCCACACACUUCACAGCUGCUAGGCCCUACUACAACCACAAUGUGGGGGUCUACCAUGGGUAGUGAAGUGUUUGGGGGAACUCUAGGUGGCAC
rnacentral:pre_miRNA from 1 species